rfam:Bacillus cereus ATCC 14579, complete genome.
UUCUUAUCCAGAGAGGUGGAGGGACUGGCCCUACGAUACCUCAGCAACGGGUUUUUUUAAUACCGUGCUAACUCCAGCAAGCCAUAUAAAGGCUUGGAAGAUGAGAA